rnacentral:pre_miRNA from 1 species
AGGAGGAACAACCGCAGUGGCGGGGCCAGCUCUGGAGCCCUGGAGUCAGCCCCCGCAGUAACUCCAGAGCUCUCCGUCUGCAGGGCCUGGAGGCUCCGGGGCGGG